UGCACCCUGAGGCCUGGCUGCUCGAAGCUGCCUUCUCCCUUAGCUGACACGGUGCCUUCCUGGUUAAGGUGUUUUCAGACCUGCCCGUUUCUCCGCCUACACUCUCUCCCACCCUACAGUCAGCUUUCAAGAUCACAGGCCAGGCUGUGUCAUGUGUCUCUGUUUUCCCUUUUUAAGUUUCAUCCUCCUGACGGCCAGUCUCUGCACAGCAGCCAGAGGAUGCACAAAGCAGAUCGGAUGCAGUCACGCCGAAUCUCAGAGACCUAGGAUGGUUCCCUCCCAACCUCCAGCAGAAUCAAGUCCCCACCUCUACUUUACAGAAAUGUAAGCUCAGGCAUGUGGGAUCUUAGCUCCCUGACCAGGGAUCGAACCGGUACCCCUGCAUUGGAAGGCGAAGUCUUAACCACUGGACUGCAAGGGAAUCCCUGAAGCCACGCAGGAAAGCAGGGCGGAUUCCUACUUCAUCUCCGCUGAAACUGGCCCCCAGUCUGCUCCCUUCUCCCUCCAUGAAGCCCC